rnacentral:lncRNA from 1 species
UAAGAAGACUGCUUUGGGCCUGUGAUGUGAGAGGAAACACAGCCUUUCCCUUUAGAAACUUGGAUGCGACAGGCCCAAUACACACAUAUUUACAUCUGCGGUGUUUUGUCAAAGCAAGCCAGAUAAGAGCAUUCCGACGAUUAUCACUGUGCAGCUAUUGCUAACAGCAGAGCCGGGAGUGCGCCUGGGUUCCAGCUCCUCUCCUGUGGGCCAGGGUCUUGGCGCUUGAGGUGCUGGAAGGAGAAUGUUCCAGCCCAGAUGGUUUCUUCUUUCACUGCGUCCCAUCAAUAGCUCACAGUCUAGCAAUUUCUAAGUAUUUUUUGGCCUUUCGCAUUUUCUCUCCUAUAACCUGCCUCUGGUUUUUCUUUGGAAAUUUUUCUAUUGGGUUGAUUUAUUUUCCUUAUUCAUGUUAUAUAUUCUUUAUGUAACCUGAUUGUUACGUAUUCCUCGUGCCUCAUUAAUUAUUCAUUUUUUAAGAAAUCAGACUAUUCUUCAAAGACUAGUGGUACUUUCCUUCCUGAAAGUCAUACAGAUGGUCUUCUCACUUUUCUUCUACAUAAUUUUUAUUUUCAUGUUAACUCUGUAAUUAAUCUGGAAUUUACUCUUUAGAUGAUGUGAGUCAGGAAUCUCACUUCAUUUUCUCUCCAGAUGGGUAGCCAAUUUAUCUCUAUUUACUGAACAAUCUUUCCUUCAUGAUUUUAGAUGACAUCUUUAUCAUAUUCAUAUCAAAUUCCCGAAUUAAUCAUAAUUCUAUUUUUGAGCUAUCAUGUUCCACUGAUCUAUGUCAAUACUGAGAGGUGACAACAUGCUGGCAGCCCCCGCAGCCCUCGCUCUCGGCACCUCCUCGGCCUUGGCACCCACUCUGGCCACACUUGAGGAGCCCUCCAGCCCGCGCUGCACUGUGGGAGCCCCUUUCUGGGCUGGCCGAGGCCGGAGCCGGCUCCCUCAGCUUGCAAGGAGGUAUGGAGGUAGAUGCCUGGGAGGGAACCUGGGCUGCGCGCGGCACUUGCGGGCCAGCGCGAGUUCCGGGUGGGCGUGGGCCCAGCGGCCCUGCACUUG